rnacentral:sRNA from 1 species
GAUCAGGUCCUGAAAAAGGGGAAGAGUCGUCUUGAUUCCGUCGAUGACAAAUUCGUCAAGCACGCGGCGCAGCCGCAUCAUGCACUCGACGCGCGUCCGGCCGUG